rnacentral:tRNA from 1 species
UCCCUGGUGGUCCAGUGCCUUGGACUUCCCACUCCCAAUGCGGGGGGCCUGGGUUCGAUCCCUGGUUGGGGAA